GCCAUGGCUGAGUGGCAGAGCAUCUGCUUGGCAUGCGGAAGGCCCCGGGUUCAAUUCCCAGGACCAAGUGACA
rnacentral:tRNA from 1 species